rnacentral:rRNA from 1 species
AUAAGGGAGUCAGCUCCUCCUAAAAAUAUUAGCUGGAGGAUGAAGCAAAAAUUGCUUAGCAUUGUUCAUUGGCUUUUAUGGUGUAAUAAUUGUUUCAUCAUGUGCUAUACAAUGCAUGGGAAAAUUAUAGUCCCAAGAGACUUUUUGUAGCAUUCUUUGCUUUCUAGUUUUGUCAGGUCUAUCUGGCAAUUCAUAUAUUCUUUUUUUGGCCUCAAAUCAGGUAGGAUUACCCGCUGAACUUAAGCAUAUCAUUAAGCGGAGGAAAAAAAACUAACAAGGAUUCCCCUAGUAACUGCGAGUGAAGCGGGAAGAGCUCAAAUUUAAAAUCUGGCAGCUCUGCUGUCCGAGUUGUAAUCUGUAGAAGCAUUUUCUGCAUUGGACUGUGUACAAGUCUCUUGGAAUAGAGCGUCAUAGAGGGUGAGAAUCCCGUCCAUGACACAGACUACCAAUGCUUUGUGAUAUGCUCUCAAAGAGUCGAGUUGUUUGGGAAUGCAGCUCAAAAUGGGUGGUAAAUUCCAUCUAAAGCUAAAUAUAGGCGAGAGACCGAUAGCGAACAAGUACCGUGAGGGAAAGAUGAAAAGCACUUUGGAAAGAGAGUUAAAUAGUAUGUGAAAUUGUUGAAAGGGAAACGCUUGAAGUCAGUUGCAUUCUGCAGAACUCAGCCUUGGCCUUAAUUAGGCCUGGUAUAUUUCCUGCAGGAUGAGUCAACAUCAAUUUUGGCUAGUGGAUAAAGGAGGAGGGAAUGUGGCAUCUGUAAAGGUGUGUUAUAGCCCUCUUUCAUAUACAUUGGCUGGGAUUGAGGAUUGCAGCAUGCCCUUGUGGCCAGGCUUUCCAUGCUACAUGCUUAGG